GUCACCGUUGUUCAACGGUAGAAGAGCCCCCUCCUGAUUAGGACGAUGGGGAGGUCGGGGGUUCGACUCCUCCCGGUGGCG